CCUACGGGGGGCAGCAGUGGGGAAUAUUGCACAAUGGGCGCAAGCCUGAUGCAGCCAUGCCGCGUGUGUGAAGAAGGCCUUCGGGUUGGAAAGCACUUUCAGCGGGGAGGAAGGCGUUAAGGUUAAUAACCUUGUCGAUUGACGUUACCCGCAGAAGAAGCACCGGCUAACUCCGUGCCAGCAGCCGCGGUAAUACGGAGGGUGCAAGCGCUAAUCGGAAUUACUGGGCGUAAAGCGCACGCAGGCGGUCUGUCAAGUCGGAUGUGAAAUCCCCGGGCUCAACCUGGGAACUGCAUUCGAAACUGGCAGGCUAGAGUCUUGUAGAGGGGGGUAGAAUUCCAGGUGUAGCGGUGAAAUGCGUAGAGAUCUGGAGGAAUACCGGUGGCGAAGGCGGCCCCCUGGACAAAGACUGACGCUCAGGUGCGAAAGCGUGGGGAGCAAACAGGAUUAGAUACCCGAGUAGUC
rnacentral:rRNA from 1 species